CCGCUCGUAGCUCAGCCGGUAGAGCAGCAGCCUUUUAAGCUGACGGUCGCAGGUUCGAUCCCUGCCGAGCGGA
rnacentral:tRNA from 1 species